GAUUUUCGUACGUCCACGCAAAAGCACGUAGUAGAGGAUAGUGAAUGCAAAUUAGAAUGUGAUAAGGUAAAAAUAGAGAAAAGCAGCAAGCUAGCUUUUAUUUGAAGAUUAGGAUGGCGUAAAGAAAGGAGAAGAAAAAGAAUGGGAACACUAGGAUUUGUAUAUUUUUCUUUUUCUUGUGUUUUCGGUUUCACUGUUAUGAAUGAGAACUAGUAAGAAUAAACACAGAACAACAAACGCUAUGUAUGAAUGACUAGGAUGUAUGUAUUGGAGCGCAAAGCCUGCCUUGUAUAUAAAUUGGAUCACGCUACCGUAAUGUUAUCGUUGCACUGAUCAAAACAAAUUUUCCUACGCUAAACGACCACCGCAACCAAACACUGAUUUGAGGUUGAUUAACUAUGAUAUCGAUGGCACAAGCACCCAACGUUCCAAAGCUAUUGAUUGCCGUUACCGAGCCGGAAAGGAAGCGCGAGGUAGAUCGGGAAUGUAAGUAUGUGACAACAGACUAGAGCGAAGGAAGGAACGAACGUUUUAGAGCACCAAAACGAAACCGCGUUUUAUUGAUGUUGUAUAUGAGGAAAAAAAAAAGAUUUGGAUGAAGGAAACGGUCACAAUAUCGCUUCGGAAUGUAGAUACACAGCAGUAGCAAUGCAAUUGUACACAAAUUCAGUAAAAUAUGUAAAGUCCGCCUGGACGGGGGAAUGCGAAAAUAAGGCAGUGUGUAAUCGCCGAAAUUGAUUAGCAAGCAAGUAAUUGUCAGUGAAUCCAUUAGUCAACGAAAAUGCAAGUGGGAAAAAAAUAAUUGAAUGAAUGGAUCCAUUCAUUCAAUUUAUUAUUUAUCCCUUAAAAGAAAAAACUCUUUUGCUUAUGAUGUCCAAUUGUUUACAAAAGCAUCGGUGGAAAUAAAAGCGCAAGUGCAGUAUAACAAAACAUACAAGCAUAACCAACCUUACAAGCGCUGUGUGUCUUGCCUUGCAAAACCUCUAUUGGGAUGUACACCUAAGAAGGACUCUACUUAGGAAGGUGAAGGUUGUGGGGGUUUGGGUUCUUUGGGGGCCACUUCAGGUUAUCCUAGAUAAAAAUAUUCGGUGCUCUCUGUUGAUGAUUUGAUGAUGAUUGCCAUAAGUUCAAUCAAGCUCCGAAAUUCCAUACCACUGGAUCGCCAAGUGCAGUACAUGAGGAUAGAUAGAUUGGAAGCGACGGUCGAGUAGAUAUCGGAUGGCCGAAUGGGCAGAGAGUGUUGGUCGAUAAAAAAGGUGGAGGAACCUCCAACUAGUACAUUUACGAAAGGGUUAUGAUGGGAAUGAGCAAAAGGUGGUCUCUCCUUGCAGGCAAAGAAUGAGGAGGAAAAGGAGUAACGAGAGGUUCCUCUGACAUUUGUGUGGAUAUGCACUCAUGUGAUUACAAUUACCCUUUCCUAAACCCGAUCUGUGCUUACACUUCGUAUUGUGAAUGGUUGUGAAUUACUUAGGCAUACAUAGUGCACCAUGAGAAGUCAGCGAAACAAGGUUGGCCCAAUAUGGAGAACAGCCAUACGCACGAGUGUGUUGGAGCGUCUUUUCUGCGAUUGCUGACCAAAUAAUGAAUUAAGCUUUUUUUAGGAUGGCGAAAAAUGGGGAAAAGACAUAGGAUAAUGACUGAUGUACAUCAAGGGAAACUCAUCAAAUCGCACAAGUUGCCGGAUCCUGUGUCUCCCAAAUACCCAUUUACAAGGCAUCCUUGUACAUCUUUCUUGUUAGUUGCGCAUCAUAACGAAACCAGCGGUGCUAGUAUACAAGGUAUUUGGUUAAACAGUGUUGGCGACGGUGAUGCUUGAAAUUGAGUCAUACAUUGAUGGUAUCCGUAUUAGACAUGCUAAAAAAAAAAAUUUGUAGUAGCGUUGCGUUUAUCCCAUAGUGUUUGGUUUAGGUUUAUAUUAGAGAAGCUUGGAUUCCGCUUAUUCAACAAGCGCUUAUUCGAAAGUGCUUAGAUCGCAUAAGCGCUUAUUGAAUAAACUGUGUAAACUCAAUAGGUAGUUCGGAUUGUGCUUGCUAAAUAGUACUUGGAUUGUUUUUUAGUCAAUAAUACUUAGAUUUUGUUUAAAGACAAUAAUACCUGGAACGUAUACGCACUUAUACUUGAACUAUAUUUACUCAAUCACACUGAGUUGUACUUAAUAACACUGAGUUUUCCUUUCAAAUUACUAUUUGUCUUCUCUUUUUUAGUUAAUUGAUCUACUUUUUCCUCGGCGUUUACAUUAAACUCCACGUUAAAACUGAAACGCCUUUUAGGCUCCCUUAGAAUACAUUCCAUUUGAACCCAUAUAUAUCUGAUUUUUCAAUAAACAAUCAUAAUCCCUGUCAAACUAAUUCAAUCCCUCUUUGCACCUCUGUCUAUUAACCUACUUCUAGUCCUGCGCUUGG
rnacentral:lncRNA from 1 species